rnacentral:rRNA from 1 species
ACUCAAAGGAAUUGACGGGGACCCGCACAAGCGGUGGAGCGUGUUGUUUAAUUCGAUGGUAAGCGAAGAACCUUACCCAGGCUUGACAUCCUGCUAAGGUCUCCGAAAGGAGACUGUGCCUUCGGGCCGCAGUGACAGAUGAUGCAUGGCCGUCGUCAGCUCGUGUCGUGAGAUGUUAGGUUAAGUCCUUCAACGAGCGCAACCCCUGUGAUUAGUUGAAUUUUUCUAAUCAGACUGCCCCGGUAACGGGGAGGAAGGAGGGGAUGAGGUCAGGUCAGUAUUUCUCUUACGCCUGGGGCUACAAACACGCUACAAUGGCCGGUACAAAGGGCUGCCAAGUCGCGAGACGGAGCAAAUCCCAUCAAAGCCGGUCUCAGUUCGGAUAGCAGGCUGAAACCCGCCUGCUUGAAGCUGGAAUCGCUAGUAACGGUAGGUCAGCACACUACCGUGAAUACGUUCCCGGGUCUUGUACACACCGCCCGU